UGUGCCAGCAGCCGCGGUAAUACGUAGGGCGCAAGCGUUAUCCGGAUUUAUUGGGCGUAAAGGGCUCGUAGGCGGCUCGUCGCGUCCGGUGUGAAAGUCCAUCGCUUAACGGUGGAUCUGCGCCGGGUACGGGCGGGCUGGAGUGCGGUAGGGGAGACUGGAAUUCCCGGUGUAACGGUGGAAUGUGUAGAUAUCGGGAAGAACACCGAUGGCGAAGGCAGGUCUCUGGGCCGUCACUGACGCUGAGGAGCGAAAGCGUGGGGAGCGAACAGGAUUAGAUAC
rnacentral:rRNA from 1 species